UGCACUUGUUAGAAGAAUUUUUUGUGGUUUGGUGAUUUUGAGAGAAAGAAAGUGAUUACUGUGGCAUGGGACGAGGUUCACUGUCCUGUAGACGUUGGCGGCCAUGAUCUGUUUUUUGUGGUCUGCUUGCCUGUAGAAAGGUCAUCCAAUGAUGCAGGAAUGUAUAUAAAAGAAAGAUUGGCUUCUGUAACUACUCUGGAAGCCACUGUCGAAUCACCACCAGUAAAAAUUCUCUCUGAGUUUCAAGUUUGUGCCACUACUGAUUCCACCAUUAAACCGAAAACCUGGGAGAGGAGAGCUCGUGUUAAUCAUGAGGAGGAAACAUCCACCACUAUACAUUGGAAGGAAGAGUGGUUCUAUGCCGAUGGAUUGGUGCCAAAGCUCGAAGACUAGAAGUACUCAUAAGGAUGAUAAGGAUGUGGCAGCUGUCUGCAGAAUGGGCCGCAAGGGCAUUGUUAGUUUUCUUAUGGAAUUGUUGCGGCUUGGGGAAUGGCGGGACAAUUCGAACACUUCGAGCGUUCCUCAAACUAUGCAGGCAAACUAUGGGUAUCCUCUCUGAGACUAAGUUGACUGCAUCAAUUAAGUUAUUUGAUUCUUUGGGGUUUAGAUACUAUCGUUUUGUGCCUGUGGCUGGUAAGAGUGGAGGCUUGGGUCUUCUGUUGACGGCUGAUGUAGAAUUAAGAGUUAUUAAGGCAUCGACAUUGGUUUUGUUGGUCCUACGUUUACUGGGUGCAGCAGUUCAGUUACUGAGAACCUAGCUGUGAACCUCUUAACAGAGUUCUUUGUGACACAGCAUGGUGGUCAUUGUCCCAAUAGCUGCUGUGUUUACUCUUCCAAGAUUAAAUAGUGAUCACGGGCCAAUUUUCCUAAAGACUACCAGGUCGACUAAGAAACACAGUGGAAUUUUCAGAUUUGAGCUCCUGUGGAGUGAUCUUGAUUACUAAGUGGAGCAGAAAAUCCUUUGGUUUUUACCAAAGAAACUGAGCAACAAAAUCUUCUACUUGGUAAAUUGCAAGAAGAUAUCACCAUGAGAUACACAAGGGAAGACGGCAACCUUACUACUUCAUUCAUCUUUUUCGUUUCUAGUCAACGGGUCUCCUCAAGGCUUUUUCCCGGGUAGUAGGGGAUACAUGCAUACUAUUUGCAGACGACAUUCUUGUUUUCUGUAAAGGUGAUAGGAAAAAUCUGUUGAAUCUUUUGAAUUUACUUGAGAAAUAUGAAAGAUCUUCAGGUCAAGCAAUUAGCAAAGCUAAGAGCAAGAUUUAUUUUGGAGGUGGUUCAGCUGUUGAGAGAAGCAAUAUGACGGACAUUACAGGUAUUGAAACUUGCCAGUUUCCCUGACAGAUAUCUCGAUGUGCAACUCAUGAGUGGUGCUGUUAAGAAUGACCAUAUACGUCCGGUUGUGGAGGAGUUGCGUGAUACUCUUGCUGGCUGGGUAGGUAGGUUGCUAUUUUUCCAGGCUAGACUGGUUCUUAUCAAAUCGGUCAUUGCUAGUUACCCAAUUCAUUCUAUGGCAGAAUACAAAUGGCCUUCACGUAUUAUUCGUGAUUGUGAAACUGCUAUUAGGAAUUUUUUGUGGACGGGUGAUUCGAAGACUAGUAGAUGUUUUGUUGUUGGUUUUGAUAAGCUUUGCUGCCCUUUUAGUGAAGGUGGUUUGGGUCUUACUCGAUUGAAGGUUAUGAAUAAAGCUUUGAUUAUGAAACUUUGGUGGAAAAUUUGGGCUCAGUUUCUUCAUGCCAAAUAUUUGAAGGUGAAUGGUGACGUAAUUGACUACCAUUUUUCGAUCGUCUAUUUUUCCUAGUAUUGGAUGGGUCGCUGCUGAGGUUGAUCAAAACAUCAAAUGUCUGGUUGGUGAUAGUGUUAAUACUUCGCUUUCCUUUGACAAUUGGUGUGCUGAGUUGAGCAUUGCUGAGCUGAUGGGUAUUCCUAGUUCUGCUAGGAGCGAAUUUAGUUCCAGAGUGUGUGAUAUGAUUUCUUAUAAUACUUGGUCUUUUCCUCCGGAGGUUCGUGGUAUCGUGGAAUCUGUUGGUAUCGCUAUUGAUUCUUUACCUAAUCCGGUAGGUGGAGAUGAUAUAAGAGCUGGGAUGGCUGAUCAGAAGGGCAUUUUCUCAGUUAAAUCAGCAAGAGCUGUGGUACGUAAAAAGUUUUCUUCUUAUGCAGGGACUAAUCUGAUCUGGAGAAAACAUAUUCAUCCGGCCCUUGCUAGUUACUUCGUGAAGACUGUUGUGCUACUUUGGAUAAAGUGCAAGAGAGAUUGCGAAUUCCUUUGCCAAUCGAUGUGCAGUCUGUGGUACAGGUGAAGAUUCUAUCGUGCAGUAUUCUGUGGAAUUGCAGAUUUGCUCAACAAAUCUGGGCUUGGAUUGCUGGUAUUUUUAAUAUGCAUGCAGCCAGUGCAUGAUCUUAUUGAUUGUUACAAAGUUGCUAAAGGUAAGAGUAGAUUAAAGAUCUGUGGCUUGUUGCGGUUAUGGCAAUAACAUCGGGUCUAUGGAACUUACGGAAUAAGGUGAUUUUUGAUGGAAUGGUGCCAAAGUUACAUAAACUAAAGGCUAAAGUUCAUCAGCAAGUCCAUGUCAAUUCAAAAAGAUCCAAGGGUAUAUUAUGUAUGAUUAGCCAGAUGAUUUUAGGAUUUUGAACUACUUUAGAGUGGAGUAUAGGAAGGUGAAAGAGGUAACUCCUAUUGAAUGCCUAUGGAUUGCACCAUCUGCUGAUGAAGUUUUAGUUUGCUGUGAUGGAGCUGCAGCAGGUAAUCCUGGUGUCUCUGGCGCGGGUGUUGUGGCCAGAAACUCAGAUUGUGAGUGUUUGUGUGCUGCCAUUUUUGGCUUGGGUGUAAUGACUAACUGAGAUUUCAGCAAUUACUUUGGGUUUGGACUGGGAUUCCCAGUUAGGAUCAAGAAAGAUACACGAGUUAGGUCGGAUUCUUGUAGUGCAAUCUCAGCUUGUCGCAACAAGAGUCUGCCGUGGGAUAUUAUAUACAAGUGGCUUAGCUGCCUGUGCUAAAUAUGAGACAAUCAGCUUCGAACAUGCUUAUAGGGAAGUUAAUUCUACAGCUGAUACAUUGGCCAAAAGAGGAUGUAAUCUGUCACAAGGUGAAACAAUAAGCUUUACGGGUAGGCCGAACUUUAUUAGUAUUAAUCUAGAGAUGCCUGCUGUUUCUUAUUUUCGUUUUAGAUAGUAAACAAUUUUUUGAGGCUACUGUAGCCUUCUUUCUUGUUUA